GCUGAAGUGAUAGCGCUUUGAAUACACCGGUUCUCGUCCGAUCACUGAAGUUAAGCAACGUCGGGCGCGGUCAGUACUUAGAUGGGUGACCGCCUGGAAACACCCCGUGACGUUGGCU
rnacentral:rRNA from 1 species